AGGUAGUAUUUAAACCUAUUUAUAAUGGCGGCAUUUUAUUUAAUUAGAGGAAUUUGUUCUAUAAUCGACAAUACUCGUUAAAUUUCACUUAAAUUAAAAAUUUAUAUACCACCAUCUAAAGAAUUUAUAAAAAAUUUAUUCUAAAUAAAAAUUAUAAAGUUAGGUCAAGGUGUAAUCAAUAUAUAAGUAUGAAAUGAAUUACUAUAAAAAUAAUUUAAGGAUUAAUUAAUAAUAAUUAAUUAUAAAAAUAGGAUUUAAUAGUAUUUAAAUAUUAUAAAUUUAUAUAGAAUUAAAUAAUAAAUGUGU
rnacentral:rRNA from 1 species